CUACCAUCCUUCCUCUCUUCCUUUUCUUUCUCUCUUUCUUUGUCUCUUUUUUUUCUUUUUUCCUCUUUGGUGACGCCAGGGCUUUACACAUGCAGGAUUCCACCACUCUCAGGCAGUCUCUUUUCUUCUUUUUAUUAUAGAUAAAGAAGCAGGGACAGAGAAAGAUGGAGCGAGAACCUAGCACCAGAGCUUCUUCUGUGUCUUGGUGAUCUCAUAUAAUGCCUGGGCUCAGUCCUGCGUUGCCUGCCUGAAAGGACACACUGCUCUGCUAGUUAGUGAAUUACCUGAAUGUGUCUAAAUACAUUUCUCAGAAGUGGAGGCUUUUCAGAUGUUGAUUCAAGUGAGGAAGGAGGAAUGGAAUUGCUCCAAGAUUGGAAUCAGCCCUAAAGUCAAGUUCUGCCUUUUGUUAAAGGGGGAAUCCCCAGCUCCCUGGAUCUGUGAGGACCAUGAUUCAAAGCAGAUCUGUCUAGGAGGGAGACAUAGCUAAGUGGUGUCAGUUCAUCGAGCGCUCUGGGAAGCCCAAAUGCAGAGGGAGCUUCAAGACUUUCAGUGAGCCUUCAUGCAUACUCUCUUGCCAGGAUUCCAGGGAAGGGUUAAACAGGAGGAGGCCGUGGAGUCAGCUUCACUAUGGAGCUGAGAGACCACGGGGAAGGUAUUGAUUUCCUCUGAACCACUUUUGACUGACCCAACGAUUUCAGCCUCACCGAGAAGGCGGAACAUAGGCACGUGGCUCUUGGCUGCCCUGUUAGUGAUUCUUUGUCACCACGUAGAUUCUUCCAAACAAAAGUCUGGGGCAGGGGUGCAGAAGAGAGGGGGCUGAGGAAGGAAGGAAGGUCUGGGCACAAAUCCUGACAGAUGCUUCUAUGACAUGACUCCUUCCAGCCCUGGUGACAGAAUGGAGACUCACUGACUACCCAUAAAGUUCAUCUAGAAUUACCCCCCUUUUUUUAAAAUUCUUUUUCUUGAUCCAUCACUGCAGGGAUAGCUUUCCAUGUCUAUCAUUUGCUGGCAGUCUGUCGUUGAAUAAAGCGACUCAAAC